GACAAUUGGUGAUGAAGGAAACCAGAAUACGUCAUCCCAAAAUAUACCUUUUUGGUAUAAAAGUCAUUUUGAACCAAAGGGACUGAAAACAAGAGCAGGUGCAAUAAGGGCUCUCUGACCCGUCCCUUUUUUUUCCCUGAAAGCAGGAUAUAAAACCCCAUAUGGAAGAUGUCCUCCUUAUAUCAGGAAGGAAGUAACAUUCUUAUCAUCAAGUACUGGAAGUUGAAGCCCAGAAAAUUCUGUACAAACAGACCUUGUUAAAAUAAUACUUAUCUUUCUUUAACUUUCUUGCAUAAUUUAGUCUCUUUUCCACAAUUACCUCUCUUUGUUCAACCUAGAAUAAAAGAAUUUAGGUUUUCCCACUUCUUUAGGUCUUCAUUCCCUUAUGUGGGCUCUUGUGUCACAUAAAACUUAUAGUAAAUAAAUUUGUAUCUUUUUUUCCUGUUAAUUUAUCUUAUGUCAAUUGCAUUCUCAGCCCCAGCUGAAGAUGCUAAGCAGGUAGAGGUCAAGUUUCACAUCCUCUACGGUGAAGAACUGAGGAACAAAAAACAUUUGUGAUUGAAUCAUAGAUAAGACAAACAGAGAGAGAGAGCAGCUUGGAGAAGUUAUUUGAAAGCAUUUUGUAAAAGACAUUUUAGGCGGAGAGAUAGUAUGGAGUUUUAUAUUGAAAGGGUAACAUUUUUAGAUUUAUAUUUUAGAAGGGUAAUACAUUAUACUCUUCAUCGUGAAGGUGAACGACUCAAUUAUAAAAUUUGAUGGGGCAGAGGGUGCUGUUCAAAUAAUGACCUGAAUUGUUGACUCAGAAAUGUGAUUUUAGAAUCUUCAGAUACAUAAUCAACAUUUCUUGUGUGCCUUCUGCUGUAGCUUUGGUAGUUAGCUGUGUUUCUCUCUUGAAGAAUCACUUUGCUUUAUGUGAAUAUAAACUAUGGAGCAUCAACAACACACUUUUCAAGAUUCACUUUUCGUGAUUAAUAAUCUGGCUUUGUUUUCUUUUUAUUACAGAUGGGAGGUUCAGGAUUUAAAUUACCAGCUGAGAAGCAAAACCAACCAAAACCAAAGAAAUUUACAUGAAAAUCCCUCAUAGCUUGAAUCUAUCACAACAGAUUUUUUUGGUAGAGUUCAAAACAGCACCCAUUUUCUGAGGAUCUGUAGACCAAACCUUAUGUUCUCAAGGUAUUACUGGGUUUCUCAGCCUCUGAUAGGUCAUUUUGAGUCAUGCGAUUCUUUGUUCUGAGGGGUGGUCCUGUGUAUUGUAGGAUGUUUAACAGCAACUUGCUCAGCAGCACCUCCCCAUUUGUGACACCCAAAGAGGUCUCCAGAAAUUAUUUGUCCAUGGAGGCCAAAAUUGCCCCUGAUUGAGAACCACUGACCUCAUGGAAAAUGUUCCAUUGUUUAGAAUAUUGUAUUCUACAUUCCUUUGAAUCUUUAGGAUCAAAACUUAGCAGUAAUUUUGAAUAAGAAACCAGCUGAGCAGAAGACUAUAGCGGGGGAAAAAUAAUUUCUCCUCUCCCCUUCUAGAUUCUGUGGUCUGCCUGUAAUAAAAGACAGAUUAACAAAAGGAAAACA
rnacentral:lncRNA from 1 species